AGAAUAAUUCACAAUGGGGGCAACCCUGAUGGUGCAACGCCGCGUGGAGGAUGAAGGUCUUCGGAUUGUAAACUCCUGUCAUCCGGGAGCAAGACCUGACGGUUAACAGCCGGCAGGGUUGAUAGUACCGGAAGAGGAAGGGACGGCUAACUUCGUGCCAGCAGCCGCGGUAAUACGAAGGUCCCGAGCGUUGUUCGGAAUCACUGGGCGUAAAGGGAGCGUAGGCGGCGUGGUAAGUCAGAUGUGAAAUCCCGGGGCUCAACCCCGGAACUGCAUCCGAUACUGCCGUGCUUUGAGGGUUGGAGAGGUAGCUGGAAUUCACGGUGUAGCAGUGAAAUGCGUGGAUAUCGUGAGGAACACUCGUGGCGAAAGCGGGCUACUGGACAACACCUGACGCUGAGGCUCGAAGGCCGGGGGAGCG
rnacentral:rRNA from 1 species